AGAGUUUGAUCAUGGCUCAGAUUGAACGCUGGCGGCAUGCCUUACACAUGCAAGUCGAACGGUAACGCGGGGCAACCUGGCGACGAGUGGCGAACGGGUGAGUAAUGCAUCGGAACGUGCCCAGUAGUGGGGGAUAGCCCGGCGAAAGCCGGAUUAAUACCGCAUACGACCUACGGGUGAAAGGGGGGGAUCGCAAGACCUCUCGCUAUUGGAGCGGCCGAUGUCAGAUUAGGUAGUUGGUGGGGUAAAGGCCUACCAAGCCUACGAUCUGUAGCUGGUCUGAGAGGACGACCAGCCACACUGGGACUGAGACACGGCCCAGACUCCUACGGGAGGCAGCAGUGGGGAAUUUUGGACAAUGGGCGCAAGCCUGAUCCAGUCAUGCCGCGUGCGGGAAGAAGGCCUUCGGGUUGUAAACCGCUUUUGUCAGGGAAGAAAUCUCCUGAGUUAAUACCUCGGGGGGAUGACGGUACCUGAAGAAUAAGCACCGGCUAACUACGUGCCAGCAGCCGCGGUAAUACGUAGGGUGCAAGCGUUAAUCGGAAUUACUGGGCGUAAAGCGUGCGCAGGCGGUUAUGCAAGACAGAUGUGAAAUCCCCGGGCUUAACCUGGGAACUGCAUUUGUGACUGCAUAGCUAGAGUACGGUAGAGGGGGAUGGAAUUCCGCGUGUAGCAGUGAAAUGCGUAGAUAUGCGGAGGAACACCGAUGGCGAAGGCAAUCCCCUGGACCUGUACUGACGCUCAUGCACGAAAGCGUGGGGAGCAAACA
rnacentral:rRNA from 1 species